rnacentral:rRNA from 1 species
UACGUAGGGUGCAAGCGUUAAUCGGAAUUACUGGGCGUAAAGCGUGCGCAGGCGGUUGUGCAAGACCGAUGUGAAAUCCCCGGGCUUAACCUGGGAAUGGCAUUGGUGACUGUACGGCUAGAGUGCGUCAGAGGGGGGUAGAAUUCCACGUGUAGCAGUGAAAUGCGUAGAGAUGUGGAGGAACACCGAUGGCGAAGGCAGCCCCCUGGGUCAAGAUUGACGCUCAUGCACGAAAGCGUGGGGAGCAAACAGG